rnacentral:rRNA from 1 species
UACGUAUGGAGCAAGCGUUAUCCGGAAUUACUGGGUGUAAAGGGAGCGUAGGCGGCAAGGCAAGUCUUAUGUGAAAACCCAGGGCCCAACCCUGGGACUGCAUUGGAAACUGUAUUGCUUGAGUACCGGAGAGGCAGGCGGAAUUCCCAGUGUAGCGGUGAAAUGCGUAGAUAUUAGGAGGAACACCAGUGGCGAAGGCGGCCUGCUGGACGGUAACUGACGCUGAGGCUCGAAAGCGUGGGGAGCAAACAGG